rfam:Bombyx mori DNA, contig: Bm_scaf25_contig16555, strain: p50T/Dazao, build 2, whole genome shotgun sequence.
UUAACUUAAAUUUGUAUGUAGUUGGAACGUUUGCCUACGUUUGCCGCUAGGGGCGCUGUUCUAACUGCAUACACAUUAGAGUUA